CCCUGCUUAGCUCAGUUGGCGGAGCGCUCCACUGGAAAUGGACAGGUCCCGGGUUCGAUACCCGGACCAGAUG
rfam:Ixodes scapularis strain Wikel colony gcontig_1107729111208, whole genome shotgun sequence.